UGGGGAAUAUUGGACAAUGGGCGCAAGCCUGAUCCAGCCAUGCCGCGUGAGUGAUGAAGGCCCUAGGGUUGUAAAGCUCUUUUGUCCGGGACGAUAAUGACGGUACCGGAAGAAUAAGCCCCGGCUAACUUCGUGCCAGCAGCCGCGGUAAUACGUAGGGCGCAAGCGUUGUCCGGAUUUAUUGGGCGUAAAGAGCUCGUAGGCGGCCUGUCGCGUCUGCUGUGAAAGUCCGGGGCUUAACUCCGGGUGUGCAGUGGAUACGGGCAGGCUUGAGGUAGGUAGGGGAGACUGGAAUUCCUGGUGUAGCGGUGAAAUGCGCAGAUAUCAGGAGGAACACCGGUGGCGAAGGCGGGUCUCUGGGCCUUACCUGACGCUGAGGAGCGAAAGCGUGGGGAGCGAACAGGAUUAGAUACCC
rnacentral:rRNA from 1 species